CUGAGAGAGUAAGCACAAGACACCAGGGAGCCAGACCCCUGCCGCUCCCCUGCCACAGGAUAUGAGUAGGAGCCUCAGCUGGUUUGAGCAGCUGGAUGUGCUUCUCAACACUACUGAUGGAAAUGUGGCCCAGAUUAAGCAGUAGCUGUAUCCUCUUGGGGUCUCCAACUCAGCCGGGGACCUGGCUGGGACCUGGAUUUCCUCUCAUCACUUGCCUCUGCAGUCAGGAGUCCAAGCUCAACAGCCUUGGGCUUUAGAGACUCCCACAGUCCUACAAAGACUGAGCUGCCCUGAGUCCUAGAGCCCAUCCUCUCUCUGGGAUGAGGUUACUAUUCUCUGAUCCUAGCUUCAAUCUCAGGCUCAGGUGAGGCUUGGAAUCCUUGGUGUGUAUAUGUGAUGUUUGUGUGAGAUGAGGAUAUUAGGGAUUGGGAAAAGCUGUUAUACAGUAGCUCAUAUGUUUUUUUCUGCCUGGGUAGGUGACUGAGGCACUAAGGCAGGCAGUGCAGGGCCUGCUAGAAGAGCGAGAGCAGCAGAAGUACCAGCUCAGUAUCUUGGAAUGUAUCUGGCCAGUUAUUUUCUUCAUACACACAGCUUCAUACGUAUGCAUACAAUUUUGCCACACACCUGUUGCAUGUGCACAUGUGUCUUGUUUUGCAAGUAGAGUAUCUAGGGUCUUGUGAAACUCUUAGAGAGGAUGAUCCCCAACUUGUCCCACUACAGCAUCACUAAGGUUGCUGCAGGGGGCCCCAAAGGGGAGGGCUUUUCUCCUGGAGCAAUGCCUGGAGGAGCGGAGAAGGUAACUGCAGGACCUUCGGAGCCAGGUGUGGGAGAAAGCCCAAGCCCAGAUGCAAACAGGACCAGGAGAAUGCAGUACUACCAAUGGCCUUCCUCAGGGGCUGCAGACUGAAAUAGCACUGCUGUCACUCCUACAGUGCUGUGGGAGGAGUCAGAGAUUAUGCAGAAGGAAUUGAAAUUGCUGCAGUACCAGUUGAAGCUCUUCUUCCUAACCCUUCUGCUCCCGGCCAUGAGAAACUAUCCUUGCCCACAUGAGGGUUCCAAGUGUGCUGAAGAGGACAGUCAUGGCGAGAGGUUUGGUUCCACCUGAGCCCAUGAUCUGGCAGAUGUUGGAGCAGUUGCAAAGUGGCCAGGAAGGCAAGGGUCAUACCCUGGAGGCUGCCAGGACAGAGGACCAAGAUGCCUGGAGGGAACACAACCUCCUCAGGACCUCCAUACAUGUUCUCCAAUCUAAGCUGCCUCUGGCCACUACCUUCACCAUGUCUGUUUCUUCAUCUAGCUUUGAAUUCAGUCUUCUGGACAGUAACAGUAGCUGGGAACUUUUAUGGAAGCCAGAUCCCCAGAGGAGCACUCUUCCUAUACUGGAGCCCAGCAGCUUUCAGCUCCAUGCCCAGAGUCUUAAGCAAGAGGGCCUAUUCCUUUGGGGCCCCAAGAUGCUCCUGAAUGACCUGUAAGGACUCGUUAAGAGUAGUAAGAUGAAGGCUUCUUUGCCCACCCUCCCCUCCAAGGCCCUGUUUCUGGACUGCCUGCCUCUACCCUCUUGAUGUAGCUAUUAUUUGUCCUCUUUACUGAGGCUUUUCACUGCUUGCCCAUCCUUGUUGCUGGGCUGCAAUAAAAUGGUUUAACUCUC